rnacentral:rRNA from 1 species
AGUGAACGCUGGCGGCGUGCCUAAUACAUGCAAGUCGAACGGCGUGGCGCACGGGUGAGUAAUGUAUAGCUAAUCUGCCCUAACCUAGAGGACAACCGUUGGAAACGGCUGCUAUUACUCAAUAUUGUAGGUUGGGGCUAUAUUGUAUCAGCUAUUUGGUGAGGUAAUGCAUCACCAAGGCUAUGACUCAUAACUGGUCUGAGGGUAGUAUCAGUCACACUGGAACUGAGACACGGUCCAGACUCCUACGGGAGGCAGCAGUAGGGAAUAUUGCUCAAUGGGGGAAACCCUGAAGCAGCAACGCCGCGUGGAGGAUGACACUUUUCGGAGCGUAAACUCCUUUUGUUAGGGAAGCGGUACCUAACGAAUAAGCACCGGCUAACUCCGUGCCAGCAGCCGCGGUAAUAC